GACGAACGCUGGCGGCGUGCUUAACACAUGCAAGUCGAACGGAAAGGCCCUGCUUUUGUGGGGUGCUCGAGUGGCGAACGGGUGAGUAACACGUGAGUAACCUGCCCUUGACUUUGGGACAACUUCAGGAAACUGGGGCUAAUACCGGAUAGGAGCUCCUGCUGCAUGGUGGGGGUUGGAAAGUUUCGGCGGUUGGGGAUGGACUCGCGGCUUAUCAGCUUGUUGGUGGGGUAGUGGCUUACCAAGGCUUUGACGGGUAGCCGGCCUGAGAGGGUGACCGGCCACAUUGGGACUGAGAUACGGCCCAGACUCCUACGGGAGGCAGCAGUGGGGAAUAUUGCACAAUGGGCGGAAGCCUGAUGCAGCAACGCCGCGUGCGGGGUGACGGCCUUCGGGUUGUAAACCGCUUUCGCCUGUGACGAAGCGUGAGUGACGGUAAUGGGUAAAGAAGCACCGGCUAACUACGUG
rnacentral:rRNA from 1 species